AGUUUGAUCCUGGCUCAGGAUGAACGCUAGCUACAGGCUUAACACAUGCAAGUCGAGGGGAAACGAUAGAGAAAGCUUGCUUUUUCUAGGCGUCGACCGGCGCACGGGUGAGUAACGCGUAUCCAACCUGCCCACCACUUGGGAAUAACCUUGCGAAAGUAAGACUAAUACCCAAUGACGUCUCUAGAAGACAUCUGAAAGAGAUUAAAGAUUUAUCGGUGAUGGAUGGGGAUGCGUCUGAUUAGCUUGUUGGCGGGGUAACGGCCCACCAAGGCGACGAUCAGUAGGGGUUCUGAGAGGAAGGUCCCCCACAUUGGAACUGAGACACGGUCCAAACUCCUACGGGAGGCAGCAGUGAGGAAUAUUGGUCAAUGGGCGAGAGCCUGAACCAGCCAAGUAGCGUGCAGGAAGACGGCCCUAUGGGUUGUAAACUGCUUUUAUAAGGGAAUAAAGUGAGUCUCGUGAGACUUUUUGCAUGUACCUUAUGAAUAAGGACCGGCUAAUUCCGUGCCAGCAGCCGCGGUAAUACGGAAGGUCCGGGCGUUAUCCGGAUUUAUUGGGUCUAAAGGGAGCGUAGGCCGGAGAUUAAGCGCGUUGUGAAAUGUAGACGCUCAACGUCUGCACUGCAGCGCGAACUGGUUUCCUUGAGUACGCACAAAGUGGGCGGAAUUCGUGGUGUAGCGGUGAAAUGCUUAGAUAUCACGAAGAACUCCGAUUGCGAAGGCAGCUCACUGGAGCGCAACUGACGCUGAAGCUCGAAAGUGCGGGUAUCGAACAGGAUUAGAUACCCUGGUAGUCCGCACGGUAAACGAUGGAUGCCCGCUGUUGGCCUGAAUAGGUCAGCGGCCAAGCGAAAGCAUUAAGCAUCCCACCUGGGGAGUACGCCGGCAACGGUGAAACUCAAAGGAAUUGACGG
rnacentral:rRNA from 1 species